rnacentral:rRNA from 1 species
AUUGAACGCUGGCGGCAGGCCUAACACAUGCAAGUCGAGCGGAUGAAGGGAGCUUGCUCCUGGAUUCAGCGGCGGACGGGUGAGUAAUGCCUAGGAAUCUGCCUGGUAGUGGGGGAUAACGUCCGGAAACGGGCGCUAAUACCGCAUACGUCCUGAGGGAGAAAGUGGGGGAUCUUCGGACCUCACGCUAUCAGAUGAGCUUAGGUCGGAUUAGCUAGUUGGUGGGGUAAAGGCCUACCAAGGCGACGAUCCGUAACUGGUCUGAGAGGAUGAUCAGUCACACUGGAACUGAGACACGGUCCAGACUCCUACGGGAGGCAGCAGUGGGGAAUAUUGGACAAUGGGCGAAAGCCUGAUCCAGCCAUGCCGCGUGUGUGAAGAAGGUCUUCGGAUUGUAAAGCACUUUAAGUUGGGAGGAAGGGCAGUAAGUUAAUACCUUGCUGUUUUGACGUUACCAACAGAAUAAGCACCGGCUAACUUCGUGCCGGCAGCCGCGGUAAUACGAAGGGUGCAAGCGUUAAUCGGAAUUACUGGGCGUAAAGCGCGCGUAGGUGGUUCAGCAAGUUGGAUGUGAAAUCCCCGGGCUCAACCUGGGAACUGCAUCCAAAACUACUGAGCUAGAGUACGGUAGAGGGUGGUGGAAUUUCCUGUGUAGCGGUGAAAUGCGUAGAUAUAGGAAGGAACACCAGUGGCGAAGGCGACCACCUGGACUGAUACUGACACUGAGGUGCGAAAGCGUGGGGAGCAAACAGG